GAUGAACGCUGGCGGCGUGCCUAAUACAUGCAAGUCGAGCGAACGGACGAGAAGCUUGCUUCUCUGAUGUUAGCGGCGGACGGGUGAGUAACACGUGGAUAACCUACCUAUAAGACUGGGAUAACUUCGGGAAACCGGAGCUAAUACCGGAUAAUAUUUUGAACCGCAUGGUUCAAAAGUGAAAGACGGUCUUGCUGUCACUUAUAGAUGGAUCCGCGCUGCAUUAGCUAGUUGGUAAGGUAACGGCUUACCGAGGCAACGAUGCAAAGCCGACCUGAGAGGGUGAUCGGCCACACUGGAACUGAGACACGGUCCAGACUCCUACGGGAGGCAGCAGUAGGGAAUCUUCCGCAAUGGGCGAAAGCCUGACGGAGCAACGCCGCGUGAGUGAUGAAGGUCUUCGGAUCGUAAAACUCUGUUAUUAGGGAAGAACAUAUGUGUAAGUAACUGUGCACAUCUUGACGGUACCUAAUCAGAAAGCCACGGCUAACUACGUG
rnacentral:rRNA from 1 species